rnacentral:sRNA from 1 species
AUGCGCACGGAGUAGCACAGAAUUCCCCCAGGAGUAAUGGGUGCAUCACAGACAGUAAUAGUGCAAGAUUCCUACGCUGCCUGCCAGUGUGCUUCAACGCGGACGUGAAGGGACCACCUCUAGAGUCAAGAGAUUAAUUCGUUCUCCAUGGCUGAUUCAGUCAUUGGCGUCU